CGUAGGGUGCGAGCGUUAAUCGGAAUUACUGGGCGUAAAGUGUGCGCAGGCGGCCGCGCAAGUCGAGUGUGAAAGCCCCGAGCUUAACUUGGGAACUGCGCUCGAAACUACGUGGCUGGAGUGUGGCAGAGGAAGGUGGAAUUCCAGGUGUAGCGGUGAAAUGCGUAGAGAUCUGGAGGAACACCGAUGGCGAAGGCAGCCUUCUGGGCCAACACUGACGCUCAUGCACGAAAGCGUGGGGAGCAAACAGGAUUAGAUACCCUGGUAGUCCACGCCCUAAACGAUGAUGACUAGUUGUUGGAGGAGUUAAAUCCUUUAGUAACGCAGCUAACGCGUGAAGCCAUCCGCCUGGGGAGUACGGUCGCAAGAUUA
rnacentral:rRNA from 1 species